rnacentral:snRNA from 1 species
GGAUGUGAGGGUGAUCUGGCUGCGACAUCUGUCACCCCAUUGAUCGCCAGGGUUGAUUAGGCUGAUCUGGCUGGCUAGGCGGGUGUCCCCUUCCUCCCUCACCGUUCCAUGUGCGUCCCUCCCGAAGCUGCGCGCUCGGUCGAAGAGGACGACCUUCCCCGAUAGAGGAGGACCGUUCUUCGGUCAAGGGUAUACGAGUAGCUGCGCUCCCCUGCUAGAACCUCCAAACAAGCUCUCAAGAAAUAGCUGUAGGCCUUAAACUAAAAACUACUCUGGCAGUUCCUUUUGAUAGUUAUCAGGCAUUUUUGUCUGAGA